UACGGGGGGGGCAAGCGUUGUUCGGAAUUACUGGGCGUAAAGGGCUCGUAGGCGGCCAACUAAGUCAUACGUGAAAUCCCCAGGCUCAACCUGGGAACUGCGUCUGAUACUGGUUGGCUUGAAUCCGGGAGAGGGAUGCAGAAUUCCAGGUGUAGCGGUGAAAUGCGUAGAUAUCUGGAGGAAUACCGGUGGCGAAGGCGGCAUCCUGGACCAACACUGACGCUGAGGAGCGAAAGCCAGGGGAGCAAACGGG
rnacentral:rRNA from 1 species